GACGAACGCUGGCGGCGUGCUUAACACAUGCAAGUCGAACGAAGAGCGAUGGAAGCUUGCUUCUAUCAAUCUUAGUGGCGAACGGGUGAGUAACGCGUAAUCAACCUGCCCUUCAGAGGGGGACAACAGUUGGAAACGACUGCUAAUACCGCAUACGAUCUAACCUCGGCAUCGAGGAAAGAUGAAAGGUGGCCUCUAUGUAUAAGCUAUCACUGAAGGAGGGGAUUGCGUCUGAUUAGCUAGUUGGAGGGGUAACGGCCCACCAAGGCGAUGAUCAGUAGCCGGCCUGAGAGGAUGAACGGCCACAUUGGGACUGAGACACGGCCCAGACUCCUACGGGAGGCAGCAGUGGGGAAUCUUCCGCAAUGGACGAAAGUCUGACGGAGCAACGCCGCGUGAGUGAUGACGGCCUUCGGGUUGUAAAGCUCUGUUAAUCGGGACGAAAGGCCUUCUUGCGAAUAGUGAGAAGGAUUGACGGUACCGGAAUAGAAAGCCACGGCUAACUACGUG
rnacentral:rRNA from 1 species